GAUGAAGAACUUAGUGAAAUGCGAUAAGUAGUGUGAAUUGCAGAAUUCAGUGAAUCAUCGAAUCUUUGAACGCACAUUGCGCCCUUUGGUAUUCCUUAGGGCAUGCCUGUUCGAGCGUCAUUUAAACCUUCAAGCUCAGCUUGGUGUUGGGUGACUGUCCGCCGCCUCCGGGCGCGUGGACUCGCCUCAAAAUUAUUGGCGGCCGGUACAUUGGCUUCGAGCGCAGCAGAAACGCGAACUCGGGCCCGUCGUAUUGGCUCCCAGAAGCUAUCUUCACAAUUUUGACCUCGGAUCAGGUAGGGAUACCCGCUGAACUUAAGCAUAUCAAUAAGCGGAGGA
rnacentral:misc_RNA from 1 species